rnacentral:rRNA from 1 species
UACGUAGGGUGCGAGCGUUUGUCCGGAAUUACUGGGCGUAAAGAGCUCGUAGGUGGUUUGUCGCGUUGUCCGUGAAAACUCACAGCUUAACUGUGGGCGUGCGGGCGAUACGGGCAGACUGGAGUACUGCAGGGGAGACUGGAAGUUCCUGGUGUAGCGGUGGAAUGCGCAGAUAUCAGGAGGAACACCGGUGGCGAAGGCGGGUCUCUGGGCAGUAACUGACGCUGAGGAGCGAAAGCGUGGGGAGCGAACGG